rnacentral:rRNA from 1 species
GCCUAACACAUGCAAGUCGAGCGGAAACGACACUAACAAUCCUUCGGGUGCGUUAAUGGGCGUCGAGCGGCGGACGGGUGAGUAAUGCCUAGGAAAUUGCCUUGAUGUGGGGGAUAACCAUUGGAAACGAUGGCUAAUACCGCAUAAUGCCUACGGGCCAAAGAGGGGGACCUUCGGGCCUCUCGCGUCAAGAUAUGCCUAGGUGGGAUUAGCUAGUUGGUGAGGUAAUGGCUCACCAAGGCGACGAUCCCUAGCUGGUCUGAGAGGAUGAUCAGCCACACUGGAACUGAGACACGGUCCAGACUCCUACGGGAGACAGCAGUGGGGAAUAUUGCACAAUGGGCGAAAGCCUGAUGCAGCCAUGCCGCGUGUAUGAAGAAGGCCUUCGGGUUGUAAAGCACUUUCAGUCAGGAGGAAAGGUUAGUAGUUAAUACCUGCUAGCUGUGACGUUACUGACAGAAGAAGCACC